rnacentral:rRNA from 1 species
CCGCGUGAGUGAUGACGGCCUUCGGGUUGUAAAGCUCUGUGAUCGGGGACGAAUGGUCAGCAGACCAAUACUCUGCUGAAGUGACGGUACCCGAAUAGCAAGCCACGGCUAACUACGUGCCAGCAGCCGCGGUAAUACGUAGGUGGCAAGCGUUGUCCGGAAUUAUUGGGCGUAAAGCGCGCGCAGGCGGCUUCUUAAGUCCAUCUUAAAAGUGCGGGGCUUAACCCCGUGAUGGGAUGGAAACUGAGAGGCUGGAGUAUCGGAGAGGAAAGUGGAAUUCCUAGUGUAGCGGUGAAAUGCGUAGAGAUUAGGAAGAACACCGGUGGCGAAGGCGACUUUCUGGACGACAACUGACGCUGAGGCGCGAAAGCGUGGGGAGCAAACAGGAUUAGAUACCCUGGUAGUCCAC